rnacentral:rRNA from 1 species
GUGGGGAAUAUUGGACAAUGGGCGAAAGCCUGAUCCAGCCAUGCCGCGUGUGUGAAGAAGGUCUUCGGAUUGUAAAGCACUUUAAGUUGGGAGGAAGGGCAGUAAGUUAAUAUCUUGCUGUUUUGACGUUACCGACAGAAUAAGCACCGGCUAACUUCGUGCCAGCAGCCGCGGUAAUACGAAGGGUGCAAGCGUUAAUCGGAAUUACUGGGCGUAAAGCGCGCGUAAGUGGUUUUGUAAGUUGGAGGUGAAAUCCCCGGGCUCAACCUGGGAACUGCCUCCAAAACUGCAUGACUAGAGUACGGUAGAGGGUAGUGGAAUUUCCUGUGUAGCGGUGAAAUGCGUAGAUAUAGGAAGGAACACCAGUGGCGAAGGCGACUACCUGGACUGAUACUGACACUGAGGUGCGAAAGCGUGGGGAGCAAACAGGAUUAGAAACCCUUGUAGUCC